GGGUGGAACCUUUGCGGAAACUCACAAGAAGGAGCAAAUGUGCUAGCUCAAACACUAUUAUGGCCUGGCGUAUUUGAUUUAACCGAUCAUUCAGGCUAUACAAGAAAUCGGUGCUUGAAGACGUGAUAAGCUCAUGUGUGAGUAAAGGUUAUGUCUUCCAGAUGGAAAUGAUAGUUCGUGCGACCAGAAAAGGAUACCAUAUUGAAGAGGUACCAAUCACAUUUGUGGAUAGAGUCUUUGGAACUUCGAAGCUGGGAGGAUCCGAAAUAGUGGAAUAUCUAAAGACUCGUCUAUCUUCUUCUCACGACUUAAGAGAUGACACCACCCACAGCUCAACAACACAUGAAUCUCUUUUAGUAUUUAUACUCUCCUUAACACUAGAACUCUGAUCAUGUCUUUUAAAAAUUUCUCGUUACCUUUGAAAAUCAAA